UCAAUGCAGCCUUUAAACCCAGAGGGAACUCGAGAGGUUACGCUACUUAGAAAAUAAAAUUAAAUAAGUUAUGUCGUAUGUUACAUUUGGGAAGCGGCCCUUGAUCAGCCCAACCUGAGCUGUUCUAACUGCACUUAGUGCAAACCCACACUCACAAAUUCGAAAUAUUGGGACUGUUUCAAACUUAGGGUGAAAUAUUCCAAACAAAUCAGCUCCCCGCGAAGUGAGAACAGCCUUUUGUGUUAAAUGUACAACCAACAUAAAGGUUGCGGAUAUUCACUGAUGCCAGUCAACAUCCCGUGUACUAUUUACAGAGCCCAGGAACACUGUUGACCGGGUUCAUCGAAUGAACUUUUUUUUCCUGUUUAAGAGCUCUUGUUUCCUCUCUCUGCCCCACUCCCUCACUCGCUCGGGCAUGUCUGUGUAUUAGUGCAGGAAGUCGAUUCCACUUCAGCGCCUCAUCCUUCCCCACAUUAGCUAUUGUGCGUCAGGAAUCGGCGGCACAACCCUCUGGCGAAAUGAAUUUCUGGAUGAAAUCAAAUCGAAACGCCGAUUAUUUUCAGCCAACAGGUUCCGAUUUAAACGGGGUGAGCUCUGCGGUUCAAAUGAGGAAUUUCGUUUCCAAGGACCCGUUUUGCAGCGUUCGGAGAUUCAAGCAGCAGGCAGUAGUGACUGGAACAGUAUCAAUUCUCAAUGUUUCACAUUCUCCUGAAGAAGCUCGGCUCCUGAACGCGCAUCUGUCUUUGGAUUCUAACAGAUUUGAUGCUCCAGCGUCAACUUUCCGAAACACGGUAACCACUCUCCUUAAAUGAGGCCCAAGACUGGCUGUUCUGCCCCUUUUCCCACACAACACAAUAAUAGGCCGCUGAAGAGGAAAUCUGAGAGGCGGUUGGGUGGAAGGAUGAGGACAAACUGCAGAGAAGGACUUAACGCGACAUAGUCGCAGUUGAUGGGCCGAAUCAUCCUCAGUUUCCGUGAUUUCAUUCCGGAUUGUGCAAAACCAGUGUUGAUGGAAAUCAUUGACGAGAGUUUGUAAUAGAAUCUUAUGAAAAUGUACGCGUGUUAUGUUUCACAUUUUUAACCAAUCUUUACUAAACCCAAAAGAUUGAAGCAUCACACAUACACGUAGACACACGGCCGGGGACAGGUACACGGAGGUACAGAUACACAUACAGGCGUACACACAGGGAGACACCUUCCUCCUAAACACACACAUAUACAGCCACGGACACAGACACAGAGCGAUUGGCAUGCACACACAUAGAUACACACUCACAGGCAGUGACAUACCCAGACACACACACACACACACACACACACACAUAUACAGAGGGACGCACCCAUCCAAAGACACAAGCACAUACAUGGGCAAACACUCAGGGAAACAUAUCCCCACACGUACAGGCACAUAAACCCACACACAGACACAUUCACGGAGUCAAAGUGACACAGACAAAAGGUGACACAUACACGCACACGAAGUUGCACAGACACACGGGCAUACCCACACACACAACAAACGAGCCUAGUUUUAUUCAAAGUAUUGAUUUUUUAAAAGAAUUUGGCCACUUUGCAAUGAAUGGUCUCCGAGCAUUCCUGGACUACUUAGGUAAUGAUGUGGAUUUAGCGGCUAUGCAGUUGCCUAUUGACUCACGAUCACAAUACAAUGACCCAGCUGACCUCUGUCUGACCCCUGACCCUGAGCGAACUCAAUCCACCAUUAAAGGGGCAGGGACGUGCAUACAAAAGCCUGGCUUUUGUUCUUCAUUAACAGACUGGGGGAGUGGGGGGAGCUGAGUUGCAAAUACAAACAUGCUGGCUCGCUGAAGGCAAACAUUAAAAAAGAACCUUGUUUUGCAAUGAAACUACAUUAAAUCACAACGCGAUCACUCGGA